rnacentral:tRNA from 1 species
GUGGGUGUAGCUCAGGCGGCUAGAGCAUCAGAUUGUGGCUCUGAGGGUCGUGGGUUCAAGUCCCAUCACCCACCCCA